rnacentral:rRNA from 1 species
UACGAGUGCCCCGAGCGUUAUCCGGAAUCACUGGGCGUAAAGGGUGUGUAGGAGGUCGCGUUAGUCUUGUCUUAAAGGUUUCGGCUUAACCGAAAACAUGGACAGGAAACGGCGCGACUAGAGAGUGCGAGAGGUAUAUGGAACUCAUGGUGUAGGGGUGAAAUCCGUUGAUAUCAUGGGGAACACCAAAGGCGAAGGCAAUAUACUGGCGCAUUUCUGACUCUGAAACACGAAAGCGUGGGGAUCAAAAAGG